UACGUAGGGUGCAAGCGUUGCCCGGAUUUAUUGGGCGUAAAGGGCGCGUAGGCGGCUUUGCAAGUCGGGUGUGAAAUCCCCAGGCUUAACCUGGGAACUGCAUUCGAGACUGCAUUGCUAGAGUAUGGGAGAGGGAAGUGGAAUUUCCGGUGUAGCGGUGAAAUGCGUAGAUAUCGGAAGGAACAUCAGUGGCGAAAGCGACUUCCUGGACCAAUACUGACGCUCAUGUGCGAAAGCGUGGGGAGCAAACAGG
rnacentral:rRNA from 1 species